GUGCAAUUCCUUUCUAUUAUGUUUGUACAGCUCAAUGAUUCCUUGUUUUUUAUUUUGCAGGACUUUAAAUUGACAUCGAUGUUUAACAUUUGAUGUAGUGUGUAUAUUACGUUACCAUUUGUAUCGCUUGAUAUUGUGAUUGAUUAGACCUUGCAUUAUUUCAUGAUAUUCCCGAUCCAACUCCGGUGAGUAAAAUAUGGCCCAGUAAUUUUCCAGUGACACCUGUUCUCCAAUAGAGAUAUCAUCUGAUUGUGACUUUUUGUAUGAAACACAUAGUACAGUACAUAGUACCUGAGCCCAAAAGGUAGGAGGGUGGCUAAAAUUAUGUAUUUUUCUUUUUUAAUUUUGUGUAUCUGUUGUGUGUAUGUCUGUAUGUGUAUCUGUCACAUCUGUAUUUGUGUGUGUGUAUUUGAGUGUAUCAAUAAUAAUACUUUUUGUGUGUCUGUCUGACUCUGGCGUGUCUGUGUCUGGAAUGUGUGUGUGUCUGUCUCUGGCGUGUAUGUGUCUGUCUGUCUUUGGCGUGUGUGUAUGUGUCUGUGCCUGUCUGUCUGUCUCUGUGUCUUUGUCAGUGUGUGUGUGCCUGUGUGUCCCUGUCUGUCAGUGUGUGUGUGUGUCCCUGUCUGUCAGUGUGUGUGUGUGUCCCUGUCUAUGUGUCCCUGUCUGUCAGUGGCUAGAUCAUCAGCCCCCUCCGAUCACAUUGGGAAUUAUGUUU